GGUGCUUGCAUCAUGAUUUACAUUUGAGUGAGUGGCGAACUGGUGAGUAACACGUGGGAAACCUGCCCAGAAGCGGGGGAUAACACCUGGAAACAGAUGCUAAUACCGCAUAACAACUUGGACCGCAUGGUCCGAGUUUGAAAGAUGGCUUCGGCUAUCACUUUUGGAUGGUCCCGCGGCGUAUUAGCUAGAUGGUGAGGUAACGGCUCACCAUGGCAAUGAUACGUAGCCGACCUGAGAGGGUAAUCGGCCACAUUGGGACUGAGACACGGCCCAAACUCCUACGGGAGGCAGCAGUAGGGAAUCUUCCACAAUGGACGAAAGUCUGAUGGAGCAACGCCGCGUGAGUGAAGAAGGGUUUCGGCUCGUAAAACUCUGUUGUUAAAGAAGAACAUAUCUGAGAGUAACUGUUCAGGUAUUGACGGUAUUUAACCAGAAAGCCACGGCUAACUACGUGCCAGCAGCCGCGGUAAUACGUAGGUGGCAAGCGUUGUCCGGAUUUAUUGGGCGUAAAGCGAGCGCAGGCGGUUUUUUAAGUCUGAUGUGAAAGCCUUCGGCUCAACCGAAGAAGUGCAUCGGAAACUGGGAAACUUGAGUGCAGAAGAGGACAGUGGAACUCCAUGUGUAGCGGUGAAAUGCGUAGAUAUAUGGAAGAACACCAGUGGCGAAGGCGGCUGUCUGGUCUGUAACUGACGCUGAGGCUCGAAAGUAUGGGUAGCAAACAGGAUUAGAUACCCUGGUAGUCCAUACCGUAAACGAUGAAUGCUAAGUGUUGGAGGGUUUCCGCCCUUCAGUGCUGCAGCUAACGCAUUAAGCAUUCCGCCUGGGGAGUACGGCCGCAAGGCUGAAACUCAAAGGAAUUGACGGGGGCCCGCACAAGCGGUGGAGCAUGUGGUUUAAUUCGAAGCUACCCGAAGAACCUUACCAGGUCUUGACAUACUAUGCAAAUCUAAGAGAUUAGACGUUCCCUUCGGGGACAUGGAUACAGGUGGUGCAUGGUUGUCCUCAGCUCCUGUCCUGAAAUUUUGGGUUAAUUCCCCG
rnacentral:rRNA from 1 species